GGAGGAUUCGCAUAGUGGCCUAGUGCGCACGAUUGGAAAUCGUGUUGGGUUAAAACCCUCAGGGGUUCAAAUCCCCUAUCCUCCGCCA
rnacentral:tRNA from 1 species